UACAGAGGUCCCAAGCGUUGUUCGGAUUCAUUGGGCGUAAAGGGCGCGUAGGCUGCGGGGCAAGUCGGGUGUGAAAUCUCAGAGCUCAACUCUGAAACUGCACUCGAUACUGCUUUGCUCGAGGACUGGAGAGGAGAUUGGAAUUCACGGUGUAGCAGUGAAAUGCGUAGAUAUCGUGAGGAAGACCAGUGGCGAAGGCGGAUCUCUGGGCCUUACCUGACGCUGAGGAGCGAAAGCGUGGGGAGCGAACAGG
rnacentral:rRNA from 1 species